GAGAGGGGUUUGUGUAUUCUAAAUGUUAAGAUUUUUGGUUUGGGGAGUGAGAAAGAUGAGAAAGAUGAACAAAAGAGUGUCAUUAGAAAAGAAAACUCUAGGGACAAAAGGAAAGUAUGAAACUCUAGAUUAUGUACAAAAGAACCUUCCCCCUUAUAAGAAAAAAAUCCCCCUUGAAAAAAAAAGAGAAGAAUCAAAGAGAAGGUGGGGAGGGAAAUGAGAAAGUGUUAGAGCUAAGUGUUGUAAAAAGUGAAUUAAAGUCCCUAGUUGGUUGAGUCAAAAGAAAAAGAGAGUUGUUCUUUGGGUGAGUGAUGUGAGUGGUUGUUAUUUUGGUUUUGAGAUGAUGAUAAAAGGGUAGAACUUGUAAUCACUUAUAAAAAGGGGUAGAAUGAUGAGAAUGAAUCUAUGUAUGCAUGAGUUGCUUCUAGUCUUAGAUAAAUUUUGCAUAAUGAUCAAGCUCCUUAUUUUUUAGUGAUAACCACCUUGAAAUGACAACAUUUGAAUCUUUCUCUUCAUUCAUAUUAGACCAUUGCUUACCUA
rnacentral:lncRNA from 1 species